rnacentral:rRNA from 1 species
GAAUAAUCAACUGCCCGUGCCGCAAACCGACACAGGUAGUCGAGGAGAGUAUCCUAAGGUGAGCGACGAACUCUCGUUAAGGAACUCGGCAAAAUGACCCCGUAACUUCGGGAGAAGGGGUGCUGAUCGCAAGAUCAGCCGCAGUGAAAAGGCCCAGGCGACUGUUUAUCAAAAACACAGGUUUCUGCAAAAUCGUAAGAUGAAGUAUAGGGGCUGACGCCUGCCCGGUGCUGGAAGGUUAAAAGGAAGAGUUAGCUUCGGCGAAGCCCUGAAUUGAAGCCCCAGUAAACGGCGGCCGUAACUAUAACGGUCCUAAGGUAGCGAAAUUCCUUGUCGGGUAAGUUCCGACCCGCACGAAAGGCGUAACGAUCUGGGCACUGUCUCAACGAGAGACUCGGUGAAAUUGAAUUGCCUGUGAAGAUGCAGGCUACCCGCGACAGGACGGAAAGACCCCAUGGAGCUUUACUGUAGCUUGAUAUUGAGUGCUUGUACUGCUUGUACAGGAUAGGUAGGAGCCAUAGAAGCCAGGACGCUAGUUUUGGCAGAGGCGUUGGUGGGAUACUACCCUUGCAUUAUGAUCACUCUAACCCGCACCACUGAUCGUGGUGGGAGACAGUGUCAGGUGGGCAGUUUGACUGGGGCGGUCGCCUCCCAAAAGAUAACGGAGGCGCCCAAAGGUUCGCUCAGAAUGGUUGGAAAUCAUUCGCAGAGUGUAAAGGCACAAGCGAGCUUGACUGCGAGACAGACAGGUCGAGCAGGGACGAAAGUCGGGCUUAGUGAUCCGGUGGUUCCGCAUGGAAGGGCCAUCGCUCAACGGAUAAAAGCUACCCUGGGGAUAACAGGCUUAUCUCCCCCAAGAGUCCACAUCGACGGGGAGGUUUGGCACCUCGAUGUCGGCUCAUCGCAUCCUGGGGCUGUAGUCGGUCCCAAGGGUUGGGCUGUUCGCCCAUUAAAGCGGUACGCGAGCUGGGUUCAGAACGUCGUGAGACAGUUCGGUCCCUAUCCGUCGCGGGCGUAGGAAAUUUGAGAGGACCUGUCCUUAGUACGAGAGGACCGGGAUGGACAUACCGCUGGUGUACCAGUUGUUCCGCCAGGAGCAUUGCUGGGUAGCUAUGUAUGGAUGAGAUAAACGCUGAAAGCAUCUAAGCGUGAAACUCGCCUCAAGAUGAGAUUUCCCAUUCCUUAUGGAGGUAAGACCCCUCAGAGAUGAUGAGGUAGAUAGGAUGGAAGUGGAAGUGCCGCGAGGCAUGGAGCGGACCAUUACUAAUCGGUCGAGGACUUAACCAA